rnacentral:rRNA from 1 species
UAGUGACCGAUAGUGAACCAGUACCGUGAGGGAAAGGUGAAAAGCACCCCGGAAGGGGAGUGAAAUAGAUCCUGAAACCGUGUGCCUACAAGUAGUUAGAGCCCGUUAAUGGGUGAUAGCGUGCCUUUUGUAGAAUGAACCGGCGAGUUACGAUUGCAUGCAAGGUUAAGGUGAGAAGCCGGAGCCGCAGCGAAAGCGAGUCUGAAUAGGGCGAGUGAGUAUGUAGUUGUAGACC